UGAAUCCAAGGACAGAGAAAACGACGAAUCCAGCAACAAAACUGGUUCCACUGUUCAGCAGACAGAGCCAAUAGCAGUCCCUAGAGAUCAAGGUGUUGUUACAGCUGGCCCAUGGGAGCUGAGAUCUGAAUGAGAACACCAGUGGACACAGUUUCCUCCAGCAGGUGAUGAAUCCUUCCUGGGUGUACUGACCGACUGAAGUCUCCAGCAGAAACAGAGGUAUCCCACACACCACAGCUAACAGACAGUACGGCACCAGAAAGGCCCCUGGAUUAAACCAUAAGCCUUAAUUCAGAAAUCUCUCAUCAAAAGAAAAUGUCAAUAAUAAUAAUAGCAAAAUUCACCUCCUCCAUUCUUGUAGCAGAGGUAAGGAAACCUCCACACGUUCCCCAGACCGACCAUAGUUCCUGCAACAACCAGAACAUAUUCUGUUUUACUGGCCCACUGUCCUCUGUCUCCAGCUCUUCUCUGAUUUUCUCUUUUCCUUAUUUCUCUGUUCAUCUUACAAUCAAGUACUUCAGCUGUUGUGCAGGGAAUCCACUGCUGUACUGUGAUGAUAAAGCACCGUAAAAGCAGAUUUUUUUUUUAUGGUGAACAUCCUGCUCCCAAGAUCCUUUAGGUCUUUUCAGAAGGACAAACCAGUCAUGCAACUUGUAUAAAAUAAGCCGAGGCAAACAAAAGGUACAAAUAGACACAGGCUGUUCUUAUGUGCAUUUUGUUUUAACAUACACACAGUGUUUCAAUGUUGGUUAACUGUGAAAACGUGUAAAUUGUGGUUGUGCAGUCAAGCAUUAUGUUUUUGUUGGGUCCCCGUAUUGACCAAGGCUGGAUUGUCAGUCAGUCAAAGUGGGCAAAUGUCU